CAGGGUCUUCUCCAGAGCUGGAAGACUGAGGUUCUGCUCUGCAUCUCUUACUCGGACCACUAGACACCGUGGUGGACUUAAAGCCCUCAGCAAUAGCUUGGGAAAUCCAGAGCUUAAGGUCGUCUUGUGGGGAACUCCCACUGGGGGCAUCUGCCGCUUCCAAUAAGCAUUCCCUGCAAAAGUUCCUCCCAUGUGGAGCAGGU